UGGUAACUUAACAAGAUACAUGGCAAACUCCGGGAGGGGUCAUUGUUGAUCAGUGAAGAGAGGAGGAUUAAUUUGUCAUUUAAUGGGGAAUGCUAUCGCCGUUCAAUGAUAUAUCUAAAUUUGGAAUGGAACGUUUUCUGGUGAAGACAACGCAACUACAUUUUUGAACAGAAAUUGAGAGUCCAUGGUCUGUCAUCCAAGAGUUAAGAUGAGACGUACCAGUUUCUCCGGGAUACUCAGCAAGUGCAAUUUUUGCCUGAGCAAUGGGAGCAAAACGUUAUCAUACGCGGAGG